rnacentral:rRNA from 1 species
CGGGACACGUGGUAUCCUGUCUGAAUAUGGGGGGACCAUCCUCCAAGGCUAAAUACUCCUGACUGACCGAUAGUGAACCAGUACCGUGAGGGAAAGGCGAAAAGAACCCCGGCGAGGGGAGUGAAAAAGAACCUGAAACCGUGUACGUACAAGCAGUGGGAGCACGCUUAGGCGUGUGACUGCGUACCUUUUGUAUAAUGGGUCAGCGACUUAUAUUCUGUAGCAAGGUUAACCGAAUAGGGGAGCCGAAGGGAAACCGAGUCUUAACUGGGCGUUAAGUUGCAGGGUAUAGACCCGAAACCCGGUGAUCUAGCCAUGGGCAGGUUGAAGGUUGGGUAACACUAACUGGAGGACCGAACCGACUAAUGUUGAAAAAUUAGCGGAUGACUUGUGGCUGGGGGUGAAAGGCCAAUCAAACCGGGAGAUAGCUGGUUCUCCCCGAAAGCUAUUUAGGUAGCGCCUCGUGAAUUCAUCUCCGGGGGUAGAGCACUGUUUCGGCAAGGGGGUCAUCCCGACUUACCAACCCGAUGCAAACUGCGAAUACCGGAGAAUGUUAUCACGGGAGACACACGGCGGGUGCUAACGUCCGUCGUGAAGAGGGAAACAACCCAGACCGCCAGCUAAGGUCCCAAAGUCAUGGUUAAGUGGGAAACGAUGUGGGAAGGCCCAGACAGCCAGGAUGUUGGCUUAGAAGCAGCCAUCAUUUAAAGAAAGCGUAAUAGCUCACUGGUCGAGUCGGCCUGCGCGGAAGAUGUAACGGGGCUAAACCAUGCACCGAAGCUGCGGCAGCGACGCUGAUGCGUUGUUGGGUAGGGGAGCGUUCUGUAAGCCUGUGAAGGUGUGCUGUGAGGCAUGCUGGAGGUAUCAGAAGUGCGAAUGCUGACAUAAGUAACGAUAAAGCGGGUGAAAAGCCCGCUCGCCGGAAGACCAAGGGUUCCUGUCCAACGUUAAUCGGGGCAGGGUGAGUCGACCCCUAAGGCGAGGCCGAAAGGCGUAGUCGAUGGGAAACAGGUUAAUAUUCCUGUACUUGGUGUUACUGCGAAGGGGGGACGGAGAAGGCUAUGUUGGCCGGGCGACGGUUGUCCCGGUUUAAGCGUGUAGGCUGGUUUUCCAGGCAAAUCCGGAAAAUCAAGGCUGAGGCGUGAUGACGAGGCACUACGGUGCUGAAGCAACAAAUGCCCUGCUUCCAGGAAAAGCCUCUAAGCAUCAGGUAACAUCAAAUCGUACCCCAAACCGACACAGGUGGUCAGGUAGAGAAUACCAAGGCGCUUGAGAGAACUCGGGUGAAGGAACUAGGCAAAAUGGUGCCGUAACUUCGGGAGAAGGCACGCUGAUAUGUAGGUGAAGCGACUUGCUCGUGGAGCUGAAAUCAGUCGAAGAUACCAGCUGGCUGCAACUGUUUAUUAAAAACACAGCACUGUGCAAACACGAAAGUGGACGUAUACGGUGUGACGCCUGCCCGGUGCCGGAAGGUUAAUUGAUGGGGUCAGCGCAAGCGAAGCUCUUGAUCGAAGCCCCGGUAAACGGCGGCCGUAACUAUAACGGUCCUAAGGUAGCGAAAUUCCUUGUCGGGUAAGUUCCGACCUGCACGAAUGGCGUAAUGAUGGCCAGGCUGUCUCCACCCGAGACUCAGUGAAAUUGAACUCGCUGUGAAGAUGCAGUGUACCCGCGGCAAGACGGAAAGACCCCGUGAACCUUUACUAUAGCUUGACACUGAACAUUGAGCCUUGAUGUGUAGGAUAGGUGGGAGGCUUUGAAGUGUGGACGCCAGUCUGCAUGGAGCCGGCCUUGAAAUACCACCCUUUAAUGUUUGAUGUUCUAACGUUGACCCGUGAUCCGGGUUGCGGACAGUGUCUGGUGGGUAGUUUGACUGGGGCGGUCUCCUCCUAAAGAGUAACGGAGGAGCACGAAGGUUGGCUAAUCCUGGUCGGACAUCAGGAGGUUAGUGCAAUGGCAUAAGCCAGCUUGACUGCGAGCGUGACGGCGCGAGCAGGUGCGAAAGCAGGUCAUAGUGAUCCGGUGGUUCUGAAUGGAAGGGCCAUCGCUCAACGGAUAAAAGGUACUCCGGGG